rnacentral:rRNA from 1 species
CUCUUUUUGAUUAUAAUUUAAAGUUGGGCCUGCCCACUGAUUUUUGAAGGGCCGCAGUAUUUUGACUGUGCAAAGGUAGCAUAAUCAUUAGUUUUUUAAUUGAAAGCUUGUAUGAAUGGUUUGAUGAGAAAGUUUCUGUUUCAAUUUUAAUAUAUAGAAUUUUAUUUUUAAGUAAAAAAGCUUAAAUAAAUUUUAAAGACGAGAAGACCCUAUAGAGUUUAACUAAAUUUUAAAUUUAAAAUUUUAGUAUUUAAUAUUUUAAAUUUAAAUAAAGUUUUGUUGGGGUGACAAAAAAAUUAAAAAAACUUUUUUUUAAUUAAAACAAUAAUUUUUGAUUUAUUGAUCCAUAUAAAUGAUUAAAAGAUUAAAUUACCUUAGGGAUAACAGCGUAAUCUUUUUUGAAAGUUCUUAUUGAAAAAAGGGGUUGCGACCUCGAUGUUGGAUUAAAAUUAAUUUUUGGCGGAGAAGCUAAAAAAUUAGGUCUGUUCGACCUUUAAAAUUUUACAUGAUCUGAGUUU